UACGUAGGGUGCAAGCGUUAUCCGGAAUUAUUGGGCGUAAAGAGCUCGUAGGCGGUUUGUCACGUCUGCUGUGAAAACUGGAGGCUCAACCUCCAGCCUGCAGUGGGUACGGGCAGACUAGAGUGCGGUAGGGGAGAUUGGAAUUCCUGGUGUAGUGGUGAAAUGCGUAGAGAUCGGGAGGAACACCCGUAGCGAAGGCGGCCACCUGGGCCGACCCUGACGCUGAGGCGCGAAGGCCAGGGGAGCGAACGGG
rnacentral:rRNA from 1 species